rnacentral:snoRNA from 1 species
UGCACUGUAUGGUGUCUGCACCCAGCAGUGUUCUCCUGAUGGGAUGCUCAUAAAGCAGUGCCACAGCCGUGCAGCAUUCAGCAUCGCUGGGUUUUGUUCUGCUGUGCCUGUCAAACCUGGUAUUUUUGCUGAUAGAGUC